rnacentral:rRNA from 1 species
GAAGGGGGCUAGCGUUGUUCGGAUUUACUGGGCGUAAAGCGCACGUAGGCGGUUUGUUAAGUCAGGGGUGAAAUCCCGGAGCUCAACUCCGGAACUGCCUUUGAUACUGGCAAGCUAGAGUCCGGAAGAGGUAAGUGGAACUCCUAGUGUAGAGGUGGAAUUCGUAGAUAUUAGGAAGAACACCAGUGGCGAAGGCGGCUUACUGGUCCGGAACUGACGCUGAGGUGCGAAAGCGUGGGGAGCAAGCAGGAUUAGAUACCCUGGUAGUCCACGCCGUAAACUAUGAGAGCUAGCCGUUGGAUGGUUUACCAUUCAGUGGCGCAGUAACGCAUUAAGCUCUCCGCCUGGGGAGUACGGUCGCAAGAUUA